CCUACGGGUGGCAGCAGUGGGGGAUAUUGCACAAUGGGGGAAACCCUGAUGCAGCGACGCCGCGUGGGUGAAGAAGCGCCUCGGCGCGUAAAGCCCUGUCAGCAGGGAAGAAAAUGACGGUACCUGAAGAAGAAGCCCCGGCUAACUACGUGCCAGCAGCCGCGGUAAUACGUAGGGGGCAAGCGUUAUCCGGAUUUACUGGGCGUAAAGGGGGCGCAGACGGCGAUGCAAGCCAGGAGGGAAAGCCCGGGGCCCAACCCCGGGACUGCUCUUGAAACUGCGUGGCUAGAGUGCAGGAGGGGCAGGCGGAAUGCCUGGUGUAGCGGUGAAAUGCGUAGAUAUCAGGAGGAACCCCGGUGGCGAAGGCAGCCUGCUGGACUGCAACUGACGUUGAGGCCCGAAAGCGUGGGGAGCAAACAGGAUUAGAUACCCCGGUAGUC
rnacentral:rRNA from 1 species